rnacentral:rRNA from 1 species
UGGGGAAUAUUGCACAAUGGGGGAAACCCUGAUGCAGCGACGCCGCGUGAACGAAGAAGGUAUUCGUAUCGUAAAGUUCUGUCCUAUGGGAAGAUAAUGACAGUACCAUAGAAGAAAGCUCCGGCUAAAUACGUGCCAGCAGCCGCGGUAAUACGUAUGGAGCGAGCGUUGUCCGGAAUUAUUGGGCGUAAAGGGUACGCAGGCGGUUUAAUAAGUCGAAUGUUAAAGAUCGGGGCUCAACCCCGCAAAGCAUUGGAAACUGAUAAACUUGAGUAGUGGAGAGGAAAGUGGAAUUCCUGGUGUAGUGGUGAAAUACGUAGAUAUUAGGAGGAAUACCAGUAGCGAAGGCGACUUUCUGGACACAAACUGACGCUGAGGUACGAAAGCGUGGGGAGCAAACAGG